ensembl:miRNA gga-mir-7451 gga-mir-7451
CGUGGGAAUUAAGAGUGGCAGUCUGUUACAUGAUUGCUUCUUCUUAUCCCACAGU